rnacentral:lncRNA from 1 species
UGAACAGCAGAAAGCAGAAAUCUAUUUGGGUUUGGGCAAANAGGAAAUCAGCAGCCAAAGAAUUACACUGGUUGAAUUUGAAGGGGAAUCCGGAUGGAAGAUGUGUAGGUCUUAAUUUAGCUAACAAAACUGCUGUGCGGCUAAAUUGUAAGGAAAAACACAAAUGGAUUUGUAAGAGAAAGGAAGUGGAAGAACUUUUUGAUGUCUAUGUCGACCAGUUUUUGUCUGGGCCCUUGGAACCUUUAUACUACACAUCCCUUACUAAAGCUGCCUUUGACUGCUUGCGUGAUCCAAACUGUACAGGCAUAGUGCAAGAUUACAGAUACUACAGAAGAACAAGAG